rnacentral:rRNA from 1 species
AGCGAACGCUGGCGGCAGGCUUAACACAUGCAAGUCGAGCGGGCGUAGCAAUACGUCAGCGGCAGACGGGUGAGUAACGCGUGGGAACGUACCUUUUGGUUCGGAACAACCCAGGGAAACUUGGGCUAAUACCGGAUAAGCCCUUACGGGGAAAGAUUUAUCGCCGAAAGAUCGGCCCGUGUCUGAUUAGCUAGUUGGUGAGGUAACGGCUCACCAAGGCGACGAUCAGUAGCUGGUCUGAGAGGAUGAUCAGUCACAUUGGGACUGAGACACGGCCCAAACUCCUACGGGAGGCAGCAGUGGGAAUAUUGGACAAUGGGCGCAAGCCUGAUCCAGCCAUGCCGCGUGAGUGAUGAAGGCCCUAGGGUUGUAAAGCUCUUUUGUGCGGGAAGAUAAUGACGGUACCGCAAGAAUAAGCCCCGGCUAACUUCGUGCCAGCCGCCGCCGUAAC